rnacentral:pre_miRNA from 1 species
ACUCGAACCCGCUGUCUCUGAGAUCAGUGCAUCAGGUUAGCAGGGUUCUAGUCC